AUUGAACGCUGGCGGCAUGCUUUACACAUGCAAGUCGAACGGUAACAGGCCGCAAGGUGCUGACGAGUGGCGAACGGGGGCGUAAUGCAUCGGAACGUGCCCAGUCGUGGGGGAUAACUACUCGAAAGAGUAGCUAAUACCGCAUACGAUCUAUGGAUGAAAGCGGGGGACCGUAAUGCCUCGCGCGAUUGGUGCGGCCGAUGUCAGAUUAGGUAGUUGGUGGGGUAAAGGCUCACCAAGCCAACGAUCUGUAGCUGGUCUGAGAGGACGACCCGCCACACUGGGACUGAGACACGGCCCAGACUCCUACGGGAGGCAGCAGUGGGGAAUUUUGGACAAUGGGCGCAAGCCUGAUCCAGCAAUGCCGCGUGCAGGAAGAAGGCCUUCGGGUUGUAAACUGCUUUUGUACGGAACGAAACGGCUCUGGUUAAUACCCGGGGCUAAUGACGGUACCGUAAGAAUAAGCACCGGCUAACUACGUG
rnacentral:rRNA from 1 species